UGAGAAGUGCAGAUAAUCCUAGAAUACUUAUC
rnacentral:piRNA from 1 species